rnacentral:rRNA from 1 species
AGAUUGAACGCUGGCGGCAUGCUUUACACAUGCAAGUCGAACGGCAGCGCGGGGCAACCUGGCGGCGAGUGGCGAACGGGUGAGUAAUAUAUCGGAACGUACCCAAGAGUGGGGGAUAACGUAGCGAAAGUUACGCUAAUACCGCAUACGAUCUAAGGAUGAAAGCAGGGGACCGCAAGGCCUUGUGCUCCUGGAGCGGCCGAUAUCUGAUUAGCUAGUUGGUAGGUAAAGCCUACCAAGGCUACGAUCAGUAGCUGGUCUGAGAGGACGACCAGCCACACUGGAACUGAGACACGGUCCAGACUCCUACGGGAGGCAGCAGGUGGGAAUUUUGGACAAGUGGGCGCAAGCCUGAUCCAGCAAUGCGCGUGAGUGAAGAGGUCGUUAGGUGUAAAG